rnacentral:rRNA from 1 species
UGGGGAAUAUUGUUCAAUGGGCGCAAGCCUGAACCAGCCAUGCCGCGUGGAUGAAGAAGGCCCUAGGGUUGUAAAGUCCUUUCACCGCUGAAGAUAAUGACGGUAAGCGGAGUAGAAGCCCCGGCUAAUUCCGUGCCAGCAGCCGCGGUAAUACGGAAGGGGCUAGCGUUGUUCGGAAUUACUGGGCGUAAAGCGCGCGUAGGCGGCUUAGCAAGUUGGGGGUGAAAUCCCGGAGCUCAACUCCGGAACUGCCUCCAAAACUGCUUCGCUUGAGUCCGGAAGAGGAGUGUGGAAUUCCCAGUGUAGAGGUGAAAUUCGUAGAUAUUGGGAAGAACACCGGUGGCGAAGGCGGCACUCUGGUCCGGUACGGACGCUGAGGCGCGAAAGCGGGGGGAGCAAACAGG